AGCCUGCUUAGCACAGUGGUAAUGCGUCGCACUUGUAUAACAUACGAGGCAUGCGAAGAUCUUGAGUUCGAUUCUCAAAGUGGGCAA